rnacentral:rRNA from 1 species
CAGUCGCCGCGGGAAUACGUAGGGUCCGAGCGUUGUCCGGAAUUAUUGGGCGUAAAGGGCUCGUAGGCGGUUUGUUGCGUCGGGAGUGAAAACCCAGGGCUUAACUUUGGGCUUGCUUUCGAUACGGGCAGACUUGAGGCAUUGAGGGGAGAACGGAAUUCCUGGUGUAGCGGUGAAAUGCGCAGAUAUCAGGAGGAACACCGGUGGCGAAGGCGGUUCUCUGGCAAUGUUCUGACGCUGAGGAGCGAAAGUGUGGGGGGCGAACAGGAUUAGAGACCCCAGUAGUCCCUGUCUCUUAUAA